UACAGAGGUCCCGAGCGUUGUUCGGAAUUACUGGGCGUAAAGGGUGCGUAGGCGGUGGGGUAAGUUUGAGGUGAAAGCUCCGGGCUCAACCCGGAAAUUGCCUUGAAAACUAUCCGGCUAGAGGGUUGGAGGGGAGACUGGAAUUCUCGGUGUAGCAGUGAAAUGCGUAGAUCUCGAGAGGAACACCAGUGGCGAAGGCGGGUCUCUGGACAACACCUGACGCUGAGGCACGAAAGCCAGGGGAGCAAACGGG
rnacentral:rRNA from 1 species